GAUGAAGAACGUAGCGAAAUGCGAUAAGUAAUGUGAAUUGCAGAAUUCAGUGAAUCAUCGAAUCUUUGAACGCACAUUGCGCCCGCCAGUAUUCUGGCGGGCAUGCCUGUUCGAGCGUCAUUACAACCCUCAGGCCCCCGGGCCUGGCGUUGGGGAUCGGCGGAAGCCCCCUGUGGGCACACGCCGUCCCUCAAAUACAGUGGGGGUCCCGCCGCAGCUUCCAUUGCGUAGUAGCUAACACCUCGCAACUGGAGAGCGGCGCGGCCAUGCCGUAAAACACCCAACUUCUGAAUGUUGACCUCGAAUCAGGUAGGAAUACCCGCUGAACUUAAGCAUAUCAAUAAGCGGAGGA
rnacentral:misc_RNA from 1 species